UACGUAGGUGGCAAGCGUUGUUCGGAAUUAUUGGGCGUAAAGGGCGCGCAGGCGGUUCGUCAAGUCUGAUGUGAAAGCCCCGGGCUCAACCUGGGAAUGGCAUUGGAAACUAGCGGGCUUGAGUGUGGCAGAGGGGGGUGGAAUUCCACGUGUAGCAGUGAAAUGCGUAGAGAUGUGGAGGAACACCGAUGGCGAAGGCAGCCCCCUGGGCUAACACUGACGCUCAUGCACGAAAGCGUGGGGAGCAAACAGG
rnacentral:rRNA from 1 species